rnacentral:rRNA from 1 species
AAUCAACGCUGGCGGCGUGCCUAACACAUGCAAGUCGAGCGCGAAAGCGGGGCAACUCGCAAGUAGAGCGGCGAACGGGUGAGUAACGCGUGGGUGAUCUACCUCCGAGUGGGGAACAACAUCGGGAAACUGGUGCUAAUACCGCAUGACAUCCUCGGGUCAUACUGAGGAUCAAAGCCGGGGACCGCAAGGCCUGGCGCUUGGAGAGGAGCCCGCGUCCGAUUAGCUAGUUGGCGGGGUAACGGCCCACCAA